rnacentral:pre_miRNA from 1 species
UCAGGCCGCCAGAUCUGGCGGUCCGGAGGCCAGAUCCGGCCGCCGGACGGCCAGAUCUGGCCUCUGCA